CAGAGGGUGCAAACGUUGUUCGGAAUUACUGGGCGUAAAGCGCGUGUAGGCGGCUAUGUAAGUCGGGCGUGAAAUCCCACGGCUCAACCGUGGAAGUGCACCCGAAACUGCGUAGCUAGAGUCCUGGAGAGGAAGGUGGAAUGCUUGGUGUAGAGGUGAAAUUCGUAGAUAUCAAGCGGAACACCGGUGGCGAAGGCGGCCUUCUGGACAGUGACUGACGCUGAGACGCGAAAGCGUGGGGAGCAAACAGGAUUAGAUACCCUGGUAGUCCACGCCGUAAACGAUGAGUGCUAGGUGUCACGGGCUUUGACCCUCGUGGUGCCGAAGCUAACGCGUUAAGCACUCCGCCUGGGGAGUACGGCCGCAAGGCU
rnacentral:rRNA from 1 species